ensembl:snRNA U6 U6 spliceosomal RNA
GUGCUCACUUCAACAGCACAUAUGCUAAAAUUGGAAUGAUAUAGAGAAGAUUAGCACAGCCCCUGUGAAAGGAUGACACGUAAGAAGGGGGAAAAUGAUACCUAUUUUU